AAGGCGGGACGGUCUGUCGCGGCAGAAAUGCUGAGGAAAGUCCGGACAGAACAGGGCGCCCUGCUGCGGAAAGCGCAGGUAGGGGUAACCUUACGCCAGCCGUAACAGAAAAUAACCGCCGGGCCUGGCCCGUCCAGGCAAGGCAAGGGUGAAAACGCGAGGCAAGAGCUCACGGCGCCGUGCAGCGAUGCACUGCGGGUACGGCACCAGGGUCUGCAAGACCAAGUAUACCGGCAGUCGAGGGCGGCCCGCCUGAUGCCGGGGGGUAGGUUGCGAAGAUAAAUGGCAGGCUAAAACAGAAACCGGCUUACGGUUCCGCCUUUUUU
rnacentral:RNase_P_RNA from 1 species